GGAGUCUGGACCGUGUCUCAGUUCCAGUGUGGCCGAUCAGCCUCUCAGCUCGGCUACCCAUCGUCGCCUUGGUGGGCCGUCGCCCCGCCAACAAGCUAAUCGGACGCGGGCCCAUCGGAGAGCGGAUCGUUAGAUCCUUUGGUACCGAGGCCAUGCGGCCUCCGUACGUCAUCCGGUAUUAGCACCCCUUUCGGAGUGUUGUCCCCGGCCGGAGGGCAGGUUGCCUACGCGUUACUCACCCGUUCGCCACUAGGAUUCUGCCGAAACAAAAUCCCCGUUCGACUUGCAUGUGUUAGGCACGCCGCCAGCGUUCGUCCUGAGCCACUGAUCAAACUCU
rnacentral:rRNA from 1 species